rnacentral:rRNA from 1 species
AUACGGAGGGUGCAAGCGUUACUCGGAAUCACUGGGCGUAAAGCGCGCGCAGGCGGGCUGAUAAGUUGGAUGUGAAAGCCUACGGCCCAACCGUAGAACUGCAUCCAAAACUGUCAGUCUAGAGUCUGGGAGGGGAAGAUGGAAUUAGUUGUGUAGGGGUAAAAUCCGUAGAGAUAACUAGGAAUACCAAAAGCGAAGGCGAUCUUCUGGAACAGUACUGACGCUGAGGCGCGAAAGCGUGGGGAGCAAACAGGAUUAGAAACCCUAGUAGUCC